CCCUUAAAUGUCCUGGGCCGCACGCGCGUUACACUGAUGCAUUCAACGAGCUUAUAACCUUGGCCGAGAGGCCUGGGCAAUCUUGUUAACGUGCAUCGUGAUAGGGAUAGAUUGUUGAAAUUAUUAAUCUUGAACGAGGAAUUCCUAGUAAACGCAGAUCAUCAAUCUGCAUUGAUUACGUCCCUGCCCUUUGUACACACCGCCCGUCGCACCUACCGAUUGGAUGGUCCGGUGAAGCCUCGGGAUUGUGGUUCUUGCCGCUUUAUUGUGGCGUGACCGCGAGAACUUGUCUAAACCUUAUCAUCUAGAGGAAGGUGAAGUCGUAACA
rnacentral:rRNA from 1 species